GAUGAAGAACGUAGCGAAAUGCGAUAAGUAAUGUGAAUUGCAGAAUUCAGUGAAUCAUCGAAUCUUUGAACGCACCUUGCGCCCUUUGGCCAUUCCGAAGGGCAUGCCUGUUUGAGUAUCAUGAACACCUCAACUCUUUAUGGUUUUCCAUGAUGAGCUUGGACUCUGGGGGUUUUGCUGGCUCACAGUCGGCUCCUCUAAAAUGAAUCAGCUUACCAGUGUUUGGUGGGUAUCAUGGGUGUGAUAACUAUCUACGCUUGUGGUUUUUCCACCAGGUAACCUUCAGCAGUGGAGGUUCGCUGGAGCUCAUAGAUGUCUCUCCUCAGUGAGGACAGCCUUUUGAAUGUUUGAUCUCAAAUCAGGUAGGACUACCCGCUGAACUUAAGCAUAUCAAUAAGCGGAGGA
rnacentral:misc_RNA from 1 species